UCCGGUUUGUCACCGGCAGUCCCAUUAGAGUGCUCAACUGAAUGUAGCAACUAAUGGCAAGGGUUGCGCUCGUUGCGGGACUUAACCCAACAUCUCACGACACGAGCUGACGACAACCAUGCACCACCUGUCACUCUGUCCCCCGAAGGGGAACGCCCUAUCUCUAGGGUUUUCAGAGGAUGUCAAGACCUGGUAAGGUUCUUCGCGUUGCUUCGAAUUAAACCACAUGCUCCACCGCUUGUGCGGGCCCCCGUCAAUUCCUUUGGGUUUCAGCCUUGCGGCCGUACUCCCCAGGCGGAGUGCUUAAUGCGUUAGCUGCGGCACUGAUCGGGUCAAUCCGACCAACACCUAGUUCACAACGUUUAGGGCGUGGACUAC
rnacentral:misc_RNA from 1 species